rnacentral:misc_RNA from 1 species
GAAUUUUCAAGAAAAAGAGGGGUCAAUUGACUCCUUAUUUUCUACACUACAUCCGCCAAUGUUUUGGAUCACAAAAUUAAAGUAAGUGGCUGGCUACAAAAACUACAUUUUGCAAAAUCUAUAUUUUCAAUAACAGUUCAAAACCUGCAUCAAGACUUUUUUGUUUAAGUAAUGUUGCUUGUUGAUUUCUCAUAUGUUUUUGAAACUACUUGAAAAUUUCAUUUAUAUUGGGAUUGCCUUUUUGGCUAGGAUUCUGCUCUCCAAAAGUAGAUUUUCAAGUAGUGGGGAGAACUUUUCUGAACGUUUAGUUAAGUUUGUGCCAUCAUUGAAAAUGUUUAUGACAAACUGUCCUUACUUGGAGACCAUUGGAACAUCAUUUCCUUAUGAUUUCAGUCAUUUCACCCAAAAACUUAAUCUUCAAUGCUGUACCUGCAUACAUGAGAGAUAUAGAGGACAAUAAAUUUACUUCUAAGCUUUCAGGGAAUUCGAUUAACAUAUCAGCAGUCUUUUUUAUUCACUGUGGUGAUAUACUUUCCAUGUCAUAUGGGAUAACCAUGUCUGAAGAUUUCCUUGUAAGAAUGUUUUAUUUGGCUUUGGUUGUUUCUGGGCAUCCAAAUUUUUAUCUUGACAUGAAAAUUGAUUGCAAGUAUGCAUGAUGGCAGGUAAGACAUGUUUCAUAGGAAAUCUUUCUGAAUUUAUGUAUGUUUGCUUGCUUUUAUUAAAUACCCCAUCUAGAAAAUCAGAUUCAGCUUGCAGAAACUUUUCAUGCAUCUAUCAUGAGCAAAUGGAAGAUAUUUUCACUUUACAUUAUGAACUAUUGCCCACUUUAUACAACAAGGCACGUCUAGUAUUUGAAAAAUUCUUGGUGCUUUCUAAUGAACUACUUCAUAUUUGAAGAAUUCUCAGUGCUUGCAAAUGAACUACCACAUUUUCUUUUUAGGGUAUGUCAUUCAACACGAGUACAAGAUCAGUAAAUGCUUUGUCACCUAUUACCUGAUAUCCUGCCUUGAGUGCUAGAAAUACAUGAUUAAGACUACUGACUGGCUUUCAUUUUUCCAAUGAAUGCAUGCACAGGAAGAGUUGGAGCUGCUUGAUAAGAUGGAAAAUGCCACAGCAGUAUGCAAGGAGUAAGUUCAUGAAAAAAUAAAAAUAAAAAUGAUACGCAGAAUGCUCAUAUGCUUAAUAUCCAAUAAUCGGGUUUUCAAUUGAUGCCAUUUGUUAUAUAAGAGUACAUUUUUAUUUGUGAGCUAAAUUUUGUUUUGUGUGCAUCAGAAUGCUAAGUAACGUGGAUACUAGACCAGACCCACUACUGCCAGUGUAAAUGCGCUUUUGUGAUUUGUUUUUUCUGCAUCAAUUUUCAAGCGAUUAUCCAUUUGACUUUCGACAUUUCUAAGUGCCUGUUAUUGUGGUCUGACAGAACAAAUGGCCCUCUAAAUCCAUUAUGGGAUCGGUGGUUUGAAGGCCCGCAAGAAUCACAAGGCUGCAGAUGCUGGAUUCUUUGAUAUUGAUGGCUGAUUUCAAGCAUUAAAACUUCGAUUGUUAAUUGUUGGCGGAGGCAUCAACUUACAGGCAUGCAGCAUUUUUCAGCAACACUUUUGUCAUUGGCAGAUGUUUGAUUGUGUAGAAAAUAACAAUUUUAUAGCAAUAUUUUCUUCAUUGGCGAUUCUAUAAUGAAAAUGCUUCAUUGUGCAACACGACAAAUUCUUCAUAUUAAUUCAAAUUCAAGGAACAAUCUACAGCAAUGGUGAUGAGUACAGUUUGAUAGUACACUGAUAAUUUUGUUUUAAUCAUCUUUCAAAUCCAUUACUAUUUGAAAAAUGAAACUUCUUUUCAAAUUGCUCCCUUUAUCUUCAACUGGGUGCCUUGCCAGUAACUCGCUGGGCAAUCCACCCUAGGCCAUCAUACAGACCUUCACCUGUAAGAGCACAGCAUGCUUGGAUGUGCCAAUCAUGAUUCUUUAUGCUGUGAAGAGAGAAAGCAUCGGUGAUCUCAGCUGGGGUCAUGGCAUCUUUGAGGUCUUGUUUAUUUGCAAAGACAAGUAUAACAGAAUCUUGCAGGUCCUCGUGUCCGAGCAAUCGGAAAAGUUCAUCUUUCAUAAUCGAGAUUCUGGCUCUAUCUGUACUAUCUAUCACCACAAUGACAGCAUGAGUUCCCCGAUAAUACGUUGCCCACGAUGUCCUGAGUCUAUCUUGUCCGCCAAGAUCCCAGACCUCAAAUCGAAUGUUCUUGUAAACAAGCUCUUCAACGUUGCUGCCAACAGUUGGGUGAGUAGUGACAACCUCUCCUAAGUGUAAUUUGUAAAGCGUGGUCGUCUUGCCUGCAUUAUCUAACCCAACCACCACGAUCUUGUACUCCUUUGCAGGAAACAACAUGAACCAAAACUUCGAUAUAAACGCUCCCAUCUUCUAUUUCAAGUGCUUUGAUUAAGGGAUUUGAGAUAGAGGGUACGAAUAUGAUGAAGGAUGGUAAUGGCUUCGCGUCUUGCAGGAGGAGGAGAGGACCCAAAUGCAAAAGAAAGCAGACCCCGAUUAGAUUGAUUUCGUGUUGGACAUAGACAGGGCGAUCUGUUUGCGAAAGUUCAGAAUAAGGAAUGGAAUGAUAUACCUCUGUUUUUCUUUUCCUUCCCUUUCGUGAAUGGGUUCG